UCUUGAUCUCCUGACCUCAUGAUCCGCCCGCCUCGGCCUCCCAAAGUGCUGGGAUUACAGGUGUGAGCCACCGCACCUGGCCAGACUAAUGGUAUUUUAAAGACACACCUCACUAAGCUCAUCCUUCAACUUAAAAAGGACUGGACAGUAUUUUUACCUGUUGCCCUUCUCAGAAUUAGAGCCUGUUCUCGAGAUGCUACAGGGCACAGUCCAUUUAAACUUUUAUAUGGACGUACUUUCUUGUUCAGCCCCAGCCUCGUCCCAGACACCAGCCCUCUAGGUGACUAUCUUCCAGUCCUCAAGCAGGCUAGACAGGAAAUUCGCCAGGCUGCUAAUCUUCUCUUGCCUACUCCAGAUUCCCAGACAUAUAAAGACACCCUAGCUGGACGAUCAGUUCUUAUUAAAAAUCUGACCCCUCAAACUCUACAACCUCGAUGGACUGGACCCUACUUAGUCAUCUAUAGCACCCCAACUGCCAUCCGCCUGCAGGACCCUCCCCAUUGGGUUCACCAUUCCAGAAUAAAGCUGUGUCUGUCAGCCAGCCAGCCUGAUCUCUCUUCUUCCUCCUGGAAGUCGGAAGUACUCUCCCCUACUUCCCUUAAACUCACUCGCAUUUCUGAAAAACAGUAAUAACCCUUAUGAGCCUAAUACAUCCCUUCAUUCUUUUAAGUCUAUUCAUCCUUACCCUACUUUUUGCAACAGGGCUAUACGCAGUCACCCCCACUACUUGGACUAUGCCCCAAAAACUUGUCAUCCCUACUAUCUUCUGUGUAGUCAUACUCCUAUUCACCAUUCUCAACUACUCAUAAAUGCCCUGCCCUUGUUUACACUGCCAGUUUACACUUUUCCUCCAAACCAUCAUAACUGAUAUCUCCUGGUUUUAUCUCAAACUGCCACCCUUAAAUCUCUCUUGAAGUAAAUAAAAGAUC
rnacentral:lncRNA from 1 species